CACACACACACACACAUAUGCCUGUAUUUGUGAACCAAGUACCUUUCUGGCCCUGGUGGUAGACAGACAAAUCUCAUGUCAACUAUAGUGGGCCCUACCACCCGGUCUGAUAGCUGCAGUAGAGCUCUGAGGUAGGACUUCUCUGCCCUGCCUUGACCCAACCAUGAGCUAUAGGCUCCUAAGCUGCGUGGCCUUCUGCCUCUUGGGAGUAGGCCCUUUGGAGACGGCUGUUUUCCAGACUCCAAAGCAUCGUGUCGCACAGGUGGGAAAUGAAGUGUUCUUCAAGUGUGAACAGACUCUGGGCCACGAUACUAUGUACUGGUACAAGCAAGACUCUAAGCAAUUGCUGAAGGUUAUGUUUAGCUACAACAAUAAGCAACCCAUUUUAAAUGAAACGGCUUCAAGUCGCUUCUUGCCUCAGUCUCCAGAUAAAGCUCAUUUGAAUCUUCGUAUCAAGUCUGUAGAGCCGGAUGACUCUGCUGUGUAUCUCUGUGCCAGCAGUUAAGACACAGUUGUGCACAGUCACUGUUUC